GGUCUUUUAGUACAAUGGUUUAGUAUACUUGCUUUGUAACCAAGUGAUGUAAGUUCGAUUCUUACAAGGACCU
rnacentral:tRNA from 1 species